GCGCUCACUUAGCAGCACAUAUACUAAAAAUGGAACCAUCCAGAGAGCAUUAGCAUGGCCCCUGCACAAGGAUGACAUGCACAUUUUUGAAAUGUUCCGUAUCUUA
ensembl:snRNA U6 U6 spliceosomal RNA